ACGCUCGACACCUACGGGGGGCAGCAGUGGGGAAUAUUGCACAAUGGGGGAAACCCGUGAUGCAGCGACGCCGCGUGGAGGAAGAAGGUCUUCGGAUUGUAAACUCCUGUUGUUGGGGAAAAGAGGAUGGUACCCAACAAGGAAGUGACGGCUAACUACGUGCCAGUAGCCGCGGUAAUCUGAGCGGGCUGGCAAGGC
rnacentral:rRNA from 1 species